rnacentral:pre_miRNA from 1 species
AAACACCGUAGUUUUGCACCGUUUAUGUCUAACCUUUAGUCAUCCGUCUUAUUUGAAAGAUUUCUAUGAUUAGUAUUUUUUUUAUUUAGAUGAUAAAACAUGAAUAAUGCUUUAUGUGUGACUUUUUUUUAAAAAAAAAUUAAAUAAAGCUGACGGUGAAUAUUGGACACGAAAAUCCAUAACUGCAUUUAAA